UGGGGAAUCUUGGACAAUGGGGGCAACCCUGAUCCAGCCAUGCCGCGUGAGUGAUGAAGGCCUUAGGGUCGUAAAGCUCUUUCGCCUGUGAAGAUAAUGACGGUAGCAGGUAAAGAAACCCCGGCUAACUCCGUGCCAGCAGCCGCGGUAAUACGGAGGGGGUUAGCGUUGUUCGGAAUUACUGGGCGUAAAGCGCACGUAGGCGGACCAGAAAGUUGGGGGUGAAAUCCCGGGGGCUCAACUUGGGAACUGCCUUUGAUACUGAUUGGCUAGAGUUCGGGAGAGGGUAGUGGAAUUCCCAGUGUAGAGGUGAAAUUCGUAGAUAUUGGGAAGAACACCAGUGGCGAAGGCGGCUCACUGGCUCGAUACUGACGCUGAGGUGCGAAAGUGUGGGGAGCAAACAGGAUUAGAUACCCUGGUAGUCCACACCGUAAACGAUGAAUGCCAGUCGUCGGGUAGCAUGCUAUUCGGUGACACACCUAACGGAUUAAGCAUUCCGCCUGGGGAGUACGGUCGC
rnacentral:rRNA from 1 species